rnacentral:rRNA from 1 species
GGAAUAUUGCACAAUGGGCGCAAGCCUGAUGCAGCCAUGCCGCGUGUAUGAAGAAGGCCUUCGGGGUGUAAAGUACUUUCAGCGGGGAGGAAGGCAUUAAGGUUAAUAACCUUGGUGAUUGACGUUACUCGCAGUAGAAGCACCGGCUAACUACGUGCCAGCAGCCGCGGUAAUACGGAGGGUGCAAGCGUUAAUCGUGAUUACUGGGCGUAAAGCGCACGCAGGCGGUCUGUCAAGUCGGAUGUGAAAUCCCCGGGCUCAACCUGGGAACUGCAUUCGAAACUGGCAGGCUAGAGUCUUGUAGAGGGGGGUAGAAUUCCAGGUGUUGCGGUGAAAUGCGUAGAGAUCUGGAGGAAUACCGGUGGCGAAGGCGGCCCCCUGGACAAAGACUGACGCUCAGGUGCGAAAGCGUGGGGAGCAAACA